rnacentral:rRNA from 1 species
GAUGAACGCUGGCUACAGGCUUAACACAUGCAAGUCGAGGGGGAACGACGGGGAAGCUUGCUUCCCCGGGCGUCGACCGGCGCACGGGUGAGUAACGCGUAUCCAACCUGCCUCUGACUGAGGGAUAACCCGUCGAAAGUCGGCCUAAUACCUCAUGGCAUCGUCUGCGGGCAUCCAACGACGAUUAAAGAAUUCAUCGGUCAGAGAUGGGGAUGCGUCUGAUUAGCUUGUUGGCGGGGUAACGGCCCACUAAGGCGACGAUCAGUAGGGGUUCUGAGAGGAAGGUCCCCCACAUUGGAACUGAGACCCGGUCCAAACACCUACAGGAGGCAGCAGUGAGGAAUAUUGGUCGAUGGGCGAGAGCCUGAACCAACCAAGUAGCGUGCAGAAUGACGGCCCUAUGGGUUGUAAACUGCUUUUAUGCGGGGAUAAAGUGAGGGACGUGUCCUUCAUUGCAGGUACCGCAUGAAUAAGGACCGGCUAAUUCCGUG